UACGAAGGGUGCUAGCGUUGUUCGGAAUCACUGGGCGUAAAGCGCGCGUAGGCGGCUAUUCAAGUCAGGGGUGAAAGCCCGGGGCUCAACCCCGGAAUUGCCUUUGAAACUGUAUAGCUUGAGUGUCGGAGGGGAUAGCGGAAUUCCUAAUGUAGAGGUGAAAUUCGUAGAUAUUAGGAGGAACACCGGUGGCGAAGGCGGCUAUCUGGACGACAACUGACGCUGAGGCGCGAAAGCGCGGGGAUCAAACAGG
rnacentral:rRNA from 1 species